rnacentral:rRNA from 1 species
ACACAUGCAAGUCGAACGGGAUUUAGUAGACAGAAGCCUCGGUGGAAGAUUACUAAUGAGAGUGGCGAACGGGUGAGUAACGCGUGAGCAACCUGCCUAUGACAGUGGGAUAGCCUCGGGAAACCGGGAUUAAUACCGCAUAAAAUCGUAGAAACACAUGUUUUAACGGUCAAAGAUUUAUCGGUCAUAGAUGGGCUCGCGUCUGAUUAGCUAGUUGGUGAGAUAACAGCCCACCAAGGCGACGAUCAGUAGCCGGUCUGAGAGGAUGAACGGCCACAUUGGAACUGAGACACGGUCCAAACUCCUACGGGAGGCAGCAGUGGGGAAUAUUGCACAAUGGGGGAAACCCUGAUGCAGCGACGCCGCGUGAACGAAGAAGGUAUUCGUAUCGUAAAGUUCUGUCCUAUGGGAAGAUAAUGACAGUACCAUAGAAGAAAGCUCCGGCUAAAUACGUGCCAGCAGCCGCGGUAAUACGUAUGGAGCGAGCGUUGUCCGGAAUUAUUGGGCGUAAAGGGUACGCAGGCGGUUUAAUAAGUCGAAUGUUAAAGAUCGGGGCUCAACCCCGUAAAGCAUUGGAAACUGAUAAACUUGAGUAGUGGAGAGGAAAGUGGAAUUCCUAGUGUAGUGGUGAAAUACGUAGAUAUUAGGAGGAAUACCAGUAGCGAAGGCGACUUUCUGGACACAAA